CCAGGCGGAGGAGAAGAAGGAGCAGGUUGAGUUGCAGUCCUUCGCAAUGGAGAUCAGAGAUCCUGAGAGAAAGAGGCAUUUGUCAAAUCUCCCUCAAGACCUGCCUUUCAGGGGGAUCCCUCAGGGAGAUCCAAAUCAGGACACCUCAGGAGGGAAGAAUAGAAGGAAGUUGACUCUUCGUUUUGGGGGAACAGAAACUAGG